rfam:Bacillus sp. FJAT-27997 Scaffold1, whole genome shotgun sequence.
UUUGGUGGCGAUAGCAAAGAGGUCACACCCGUUCCCAUUCCGAACACGGAAGUUAAGCUCUUUAGCGCCGAUGGUAGUUGGGGGUUUCCCCCUGUGAGAGUAGGACGCCGCCAAGC